rnacentral:rRNA from 1 species
AGUGAACGCUGGCGGUAGGCCUAACACAUGCAAGUCGAACGGCAGCACAGUAAGAGCUUGCUCUUACGGGUGGCGAGUGGCGGACGGGUGAGGAAUACAUCGGAAUCUACUUUUUCGUGGGGGAUAACGUAGGGAAACUUACGCUAAUACCGCAUACGACCUACGGGUGAAAGCAGGGGAUCUUCGGACCUUGCGCGAUUGAAUGAGCCGAUGUCGGAUUAGCUAGUUGGAGGGGUAAAGGCCCACCAAGGCGACGAUCCGUAGGUGGUCUGAGAGGAUGAUCAGCCACACUGGAACUGAGACACGGUCCAGACUCCGACGCGAGGCAGCAGUGGGGAAUAUUGGACAAUGGGCGCAAGCCUGAUCCAGCCAUACCGCGUGGGUGAAGAAGGCCUUCGGGUUGUAAAGCCCUUUUGUUGGGAAAGAAAAGCAGCAGGUUAAUACCCCGCUGUUCUGACGGUACCCAAAGAAUAAGCACCGGCUAACUUCGUG